rnacentral:misc_RNA from 1 species
GAAGGUGAAAAUGUUAGAAGCACUCCAGGAUAUUGAGAUAGCUUCCAGAUUAGUGGGUUUCGAUGCUGAUAACGAUGACUCCUUUGAUGAUAAGUACAGGAAGCUUCAUUGUGAGAUAAAUCCACUUCCUCAUGAUAGUGAGGAUUACCGGUUGAUUGAGAAGUACCUUCAUAAUACUCAUGCUCCUACUCAUACGGAUUGGAGUCUUGAACUGGAAGAAGUUUUUUCACUAGAAAGGAAAGGGGAAAUUGAUAAGUUUGCUCCCUACAGAAAAAAGCUCAAGAAUAGAAUGCUACUCUGGCAUGGUUCUCGGUUGACUAACUUCGUGGGAAUACUUAGCCAAGGACUUAGAAUAGCUCCUCCUGAAGCUCCAG